CCUACGGGGGGCAGCAGUGGGGGAUAUUGCACAAUGGGGGGAACCCUGAUGCAGCGACGCCGCGUGGGUGAAGGAGUGCUUCGGCAUGUAAAGCCCUAUCGGCAGGGAAGAAGCAAGACGGUACCUGACUAAGAAGCCCCGGCUAACUAUGUGCCAGCAGCCGCGGUAAUACGUAGGGGCCGAGCGUUAUCAGGAUUCACUGGGUGUAAGGGGAGCGUAGACGGCCAUGCAAGCCAGGGGUGAAAGCCCGGGGCCCAACCCCGGGACUGCCCUGGGAACUGCCUGGCGGGAGUGCGGGAGGGGCAGGCGGAAGUCCUGGUGUAGCGGUGAAAUGCGUAGAGAUCAGGAGGAACACCGGCGGCGAAGGCGGCCUGCUGGACCGCGACUGACGUUGAGGCUCGAAAGCGUGGGGAGCGAACAGGAUUAGAUACCCUUGUAGUC
rnacentral:rRNA from 1 species